GAGAGAGAGAGUUAGAGGAAGAAGGAUAAAUUGAUAGAAAGAGAUGGGUCAAGAGAGCCACACUGCUCAGAAAAGAAGUGGAGGAGCUGGUGGUUCGCUUCCCACCACCACCACCAGACUAAGCGGCCGUUCAUCUUCGGGCUUCUCUCGUGGCCGUCAGAUCCAAAAGACCUUCAACAACCUCAAGAUCACCAUUCUUUGUGGUUUCGUCACCAUUCUUGUCCUUCGUGGCACAAUCGGCGUCGGCAACCUCGCCGGAAUAGCCGACGUUGAGGCCGAGAACCAGAACCUCAUCGAGGAAACCAAUCGAAUUCUUGCUGAGAUCCGUUCCGACAGCGAUCCUAUCGACCCUUCUGAACCUGCGGAGCCUGAAUUCAACCCAAACGUUACCUACACUCUUGGCCCUAAGAUCUCCGAUUGGGACCUGCAGCGCAAGAUCUGGCUCCAACGCAAUCCCCAGUUCCCCAAUUACGUCAAUGGCAAAGCGCGAAUCUUGCUUGUUACUGGAUCUCCUCCUAACCCUUGUGACAACUCAAUUGGUGAUCAUUACCUUCUCAAGUCUAUCAAGAACAAGAUCGAUUACUGCCGAAUUCAUGGAAUUGAGAUCAUUUACAAUUUGGCCCAUCUCGAUAAGGAGCUCGCUGGUUACUGGGCUAAGCUUCCCUUGAUUCGACGCCUCAUGCUGUCUCAUCCGGAGGUGGAGUGGAUUUGGUGGAUGGAUAGCGAUGCCUUGUUCACGGAUAUGGUUUUUCAGCUUCCUCUCUCCAAAUACGAUCAGUAUAAUAUGGUGGUCCAUGGUUACCCGGAUUUGAUGUUCGAGCAGAAAUCAUGGAUUGCGUUGAACACCGGAAGCUUUCUCUUCCGGAAUUGCCAGUGGUCUUUGGAUUUGCUUGACGCUUGGGCUCCUAUGGGUCCUAAAGGCCCCGUUAGGGACGAAGCGGGGAAGAUCUUGACUGCUAACUUGAAAGGGCGGCCAGCAUUUGAGGCCGACGAUCAAUCGGCGUUGAUUUACCUUUUGAUCUCCCAGAAGCAUUGGAUGGAGAAGGUUUUCCUCGAGAAUUCUUACUACUUACAUGGCUACUGGGCUGGUCUAGUGGACAGAUAUGAGGAGAUGAUGGAGAAGUACCAUCCAGGAUUGGGUGAUGAGAGAUGGCCAUUUGUGACCCAUUUCGUUGGUUGCAAGCCCUGCGGGAGCUAUGGGGAUUAUCCGGUGGAGAGGUGCUUGAAAAGCAUGGAGAGAGCCUUUAAUUUUGCAGAUAAUCAGGUUCUCAAAUUAUAUGGUUUUAGGCACCGGGGCUUGUUGAGCCCCAAGAUCAAGAGGAUCAGGAACGAGACGGCUACUCCUUUGGAGAUUGUAGAUCAAUUCGAUAUUCGACGGCAUCCUGUUCAUCAAGGCUCCGAUCCAAACAGCAUUUGAGUAUCAGUCUUCCCUGUUUCAUAAAUUGUAAGUUAAAUGUAUCCUCAGUUUGUGGAUUUUGUUUGUUUUUGUUUCUACGCAUAGUUGCAUAGGACCUAUGCAAAGAAGAAAAGUAGAUUCUUUUAUUAUUAUUCUUUUCUAUUCAUGAUUUUCUCUCAGACAUUUCAAGAAUUAAUACUUUUAUGAUUCAUUUACAUC